CCGGCCAUGCAGCUGCCGCCCGCCCUGCGCGCCCGCCUGGCCGAGGGCCCCGGAGCCGCCGAGCCGCUGCCCGUGGUGCGAGACCCCGCGGCGGGGGCCGCGCCCUUUCGUUUCGUGGCGCGCCGGGUCCGCUUCCCGCGAGAGCACGAGUUCUUCGAGGAUGGAGACGUGCAACGGCACCUCUAUCUACGGGACGUGCUCAUGCAGGUGGCCGAGGCCCCCGCAAGGCCCAGGGUGCCAGAGUUCACCUGCCAGGUGGCAGGCUGCUGCCAGGUGUUUGAUACCCUGGAGGGCUACGAGCACCACUACCACGUGCUGCACAGGAACGUCUGCUCCUUCUGCAAGCGGGCAUUCCCCUCCGGCCACCUGCUGGACAGCCACAUCGUGGAGUGGCAUGAUGCUCUCUUCCAGAUCCUGGCUGAGAGGCAGGACAUGUACCAGUGCUUGGUGGAAGGGUGUGAGGAGAAAUUCAAGACCAGCCGAGACCGAAAGGACCACAUGGUAAAGCGUCACCUGUACCCUGCAGAUUUCCGGUUUGAUAAGCCCAAGAAGAGCAGAGGGUAUGUGCAAUGCCAGCCCAGCCACACAGGGGGCCACGGUGCCCAUGUCGGUAGAAGCCCCAGCGGGUCAGGGCGAGCAGUCAGAAGAGGACAUCAUGGAGGUCUCCUCUGACGAACGUGUGGCGCCUUCCCCAGUGCCUGCGGGUGAGAGCUGGGCCACACCAGGGCUCCCAGAGAGGCGGGCCUACAGCCACAGAAUUCCUGCCACCAUCUGUUUCGGUCAAGGUGCAUCACGGGGAUUUAAAAGCACCAAGAAGAGAAGCAAACACCACUGAUGGUCCCAGCGGUGGGGUGACCCUGAGGCCUCUGACAGCAGCCAGGGGACAGCACCUGCCAGCUGCAGUGGUUUUGGUCACAGGCUACUCUUUUUGCCCUAGAAUCAGGCUGCGAGCAGCUCUGGUGUGGCCACCCUGGGGCCCAGGAUUUGACUCUCUCAAUGUCUCAGCCCCAUGGUGGGUGGUGUCCAUUACCAGGAGCAACAGGAGCUCACGGUUUCUGGACAGUGACGCAGACCACUGCCCAGGAAGGAGGUGAACGCUGGCCCUCAGCAGCAAGCGCCAUAAGAAUCUCUUUUUUGAGUGUAUAAAAUAAAUAUUUUUCACUAGCA